AUGGAUACAACUCCAUUGAUCAUGUCAAGUCCUUUUAACUUCGGGACAUUCCAAAGAAACCUGUGAAAACAGGAAACAAGUGGGAGUUUUGUAGAAUUAUAAGAUUGUGGAGAAACUUCUAAUUGCUGCCAUUGCAGAUGCUGAUGUUAGUGUUCGUCAGUCAGUCUUUCUAUCUCUGCAUGGAAAUGGAGGUUUCGAUGAAUUUUUGGCACAGGCUGAUAGUUUGAGUGCUAUCUUUGUUGCUCUAAAUGAUGAGGAUUUUGAUGUUCGAGAGUUUGCUAUAUCAGUUGCUGGCAGAUUGUCUGAAAAGAAUCCAGCAUCUGUUCUGCCUGCACUUUGUCACCAUCUCAUACAAUUGUUGAUGCAUCUUGAGCAAAGUGCAGAUAACAAAUGCAGAGAAGAAAGUGCUAAACUCUUGGGUUGCCGCAGCCUAAUGUUGUAUUAGACGUAAUCGAAAAUCAAAAGUAGCCUUCAUAUACGGAGGUUAGUUUUUUCUAGUUGAAUAUUUAAUACAGAAAUGGCAUUUUACUGAUGUCUCAUUAGUAGGUUGCUGUCCUGCAGAUGGGUAGCUAUGAUGCAAUGAUUAUGCAGAAGCUUGCUGCCAUGCAGCAGUUGGAACGUGAGCUUGAGGCCAUCUCUGCCAUUGAUUACCAGGAAAUUAUGUUAUUCCUAGUGAAGAAGUUCUUGUAGGAACGUUUGGAGGAUCUAGCAGGUAAAGAUGCCCAAGAGAAAUCUGAUGUUGCUAUAGAAACCCUUUUACAAGAGCUUCCAGAUGAAAGAAAUGUCAAUAAAAGACCGGAUGAUUCAAAACAGAUACAGGAAAAGUCAAAGAAAAAGAAAAAGA